rnacentral:rRNA from 1 species
UUUUUAUAUUUAUAGUUUACUUUGUAAGUAUUGAGUUAAAAGAUAGGAGUCUAGUAAAUAAUCAAUAUAAAGGUAAGAUUAAAUCGGCCAAUUUAUCUGUAGAUUAUGAAAUAAAUCAAGUUAUGAAGGAUAUAGAUAAAUUGGGAUUGAAUACAGUAAAUGUACCUAUAAUUAUAAAUGUAGAGUCCAUUAAUUCUGAUAUUAUGUCAAUAGAUAAUAAUAGUAAAGAAAAGGCAAUUAAGUUAAUAAAAAAAUUAAAUAAAAAAGGUAUUUCAACAAUAUUAGAGGCAUAUCCAUGGAUUGAAAAUGGAAAAUUGUAUGAGACUGACUGGAACCCUAUAAAUAAAAAAAGAUUUUUUUAUACUUGGCAAAAUGCCAUAUUAAAUGAACUUAUAAUUGAUGUAGCAAAUCCACUGGAUGUAAAUGUUUUAAAUAUUGGUUCUAAUUUUGUACAUUUGGAAGAAUAUCAACAAAAUUGGGGUGAAAUAAUAGAUUUUGUACAAUCCAAAUUUGACGGUUUUGUAACGUACAGAACUAAUUGGUGGUAUACAAAAAAAGAUGAUUUAAGUAGUAAGUUGUUUUAUGAACAAAAGCUGAACAAUAAUUUUUUUGAUAAGUUAGAUUUUAUAUCUAUAGCAGCAUAUUUUGAGUUAAGUAAUAAACCUGUUAAUACAGUGGAUGAAUUAAUUUCUGCCUUACACUCAUCUACUGUAAACAAUAGAGGACAAAAUAUAAAACAAGAAAUAUAUAACCUUUAUAAAGCUCAUAGAAAACCUAUAUUUUUUGGAGAAUUAGGUUUUUCAAAUAGAGAAAGUGCAAGUUCUCAGCCGUGGAAUCAUACUCCUUCAAAAGCUGUAAAUGGCGAAGAACAAGCAAGGUGUUUUGAGGCAUAUAAGAAAGUUUUUGAAAAUGAAGACUGGAUAAAUGGUUUUUCUGUGUUUUGUGUAGGUAAAAUAGAUGACGAAAAAAAUUUUUACCCAUCAAAAGAGAGUAUAAAAGUUAUUAAGUCUUGGUAUGAAUAAUUUUGAAAGUGUAGAAUUUAUAUAGAUUAAAUAGAUGAUUAGGAGAGACAUAAAUGAAUGACAUCAAGGUUAUGACUGUAUUUGGAACUAGACCUGAAGCUAUCAAAGUAGCACCUUUAAUAAAGGAACUUGAAAAAAGAGAGAAUAUAAAAAGUAUUGUUUGCGUUACAGCUCAACAUAGAGAAAUGCUUGACCAAGUUAUAGAAACCUUUAAUAUAAAUGUAGACUAUGAUUUGGAUAUAAUGGAAAAAGGACAAAGCCUGAAUGAUAUAACAUGUAAGAUUUUAAAUAAACUUCCCUUGAUUUUAAACAAGGAAAAUCCAAAUAUAAUAUUGGUACAUGGAGAUACAACCACAACUCUAGCUACAAGUUUGACUGCAUUUUAUAAUAAAACUCUUGUUGGUCAUAUAGAAGCUGGGCUUAGAACCUAUGAUAAAUAUUCUCCUUUUCCAGAGGAGUUAAAUAGACAACUUACAGGUAUUAUUGCUGAUAUGCACUUUGCUCCUACUAAUUUGGCUAGAAAAAACUUGAUUUCUGAAGGAAAACCUAAUAAUAAUAUAUUUGUAACUGGUAAUACUGCUAUUGAUGCUUUAAAGAUGACAAUAAAAGAAAACUAUAAUCAUCCUAUAAUUGAUGAGAUUGGUAACGAUAGGAUGAUUUUACUAACCUCUCACAGAAGAGAAAAUUUGGGUAAACCUAUGAAAAAUAUAUUUAGAGCUAUAAAGCGAAUAGUAGAUGACUUUGAAGAUGUACAGAUAGUAUAUCCCAUACAUUUAAAUCCUAAAAUACGAACUAUAGCUGAUGAGAUAUUUGGAAAAUUUCCUGAAAAAAUUCAUAUUAUAGAGCCUUUAGAUGUAGCUGAUUUUCAUAACUUUUUAAAUAAAUCUUAUAUGAUAAUGACUGAUAGUGGAGGAAUGCAGGAAGAAGCUCCAUCAUUAGGUAAGCCAGUCCUUGUGUUGCGUGAUAAAACAGAAAGAACAGAAGGAAUUGAAGCAAAGACACUUAAAUUAGUAGGUACUAAUGAAGAUAGAAUAUAUAAUUCAGUGAGCGAUUUAUUAAUAAAUAAAGAUAACUAUGUUCAGAUGAGUAAAGCAUCUAAUCCAUAUGGAGAUGGAAAUGCAAGCAAAUAUAUAGUGGAUAUAAUAAUUAAAAAAUUUAAUUGCAAAUAUUUAAAUUAGAUAAGACCUAAAACAUUAACUAAUUGAUAUAAGAUUUAUGAUAAUAUUAAGGAAUACAAUUUUUAAGGGGGAGUAAUAUGGCUAGAAAAUUAAUAAAAAAUUUGGGUAAAAGUAAAAGUGUAAAGAGAGUGAAACUUUUAUUUAAGAAGAUUUUUAUUACUGUAUUCAUAGUAGCAAGUAUAGUUGCUAUUUUUAAUAUAACGAAAUAUUUUGAGGAAUUAUACAAAGUAAGGGAUUUAAAAAGUACUAAAAUUGAAUACUAUAUGGAUGUGGCUGAUGAAGCAGGAGAUGGAAAGGUCCAAUUAAGUUGGAAGGCCUUACUUGCUAUAGACAUGGUAAUACAUGAUGAAGAUUUAAGUAAUAUAAAAAAGAAAGACACAUUGGAUAUAGGGGAAAAGUUUAUAGUAGAAGAUAAAAAUGAUAAAGGCGAAAAGGUGUAUAAGGUAAAAAAGUUUAAUAAGGUAUUAAGCGAAUUGAAAUUUGACUCUUCUCAAAAAAGUAGAGCAAGAAAAUACAUGAAAGAUUUAGAAUACACAUACCUUGGAAAUAAACAAUUAGAUAGUAGUGAUGAAAAAAUUAAAUUUAUAAAGAAGUUAGAAGACUCAGCUAUAAGAGAAUAUAUUGAUUAUGGAAUAUUGCCCUCUAUAACAAUUGGACAAGCUAUAUUAGAAUCUGGUUGGGGAAAUUCUAAACUUACAAAACAGAGUAAUAAUUUAUUUGGUAUAAAAGCAGAUAAAGCAUGGAAAGGAAAAAGUGUAGAAAUUUCAACUUCAGAGCAUUAUAAUGAAAAAAUUGUAGCUAGUUUUAGGUCGUAUAAUUCAUUACAAGAUUCUGUCAAAGACCACAGUUUAUUUUUAAUUAAUAAUAAAAGAUAUAGAAAACAUGGAUUGUUUGAGGCAAAAGAUUAUAUUAGUCAAGCUCAAUCAUUAGAAAAUGCAGGAUAUAGUACAGCAGAAGAUAAAAAAGGAAAUCGUAUAUAUGCAGAGCUAUUAAUAGAUGUUAUUAGGAGUUAUAAUUUGCAAUUGAUAGAUAAUAAAGUUGAGACAAAAUAAUUGUUAACUUUAUAUGAGGAGAUAACAAGAUAAGAUUCUUUUCUACAAAAAGAAUAGAAAAAUUGUAAAAAAAACUAAAAAAAUGUAUUGACUUGUUAUUUAAAAGGUGAUAUUAUUAUUACUGUACUCGAAAGAGAACAAAAUGAACUUUGAAAAUUAAACAGUAGGUUAAUUUAUAAACAAGAAACAAACCAUAAAGCCAGAUAUUUUGAUAACAAUAGUAUCUGAGCCUGAUAAACUUUUAUUUGAGAGUUUGAUCCUGGCUCAGGAUGAACGCUGGCGGCGUGCCUAACACAUGCAAGUUGAGCGAUUUACUUCGGUAAAGAGCGGCGGACGGGUGAGUAACGCGUGGGUAACCUACCCUGUACACACGGAUAACAUACCGAAAGGUAUGCUAAUACGGGAUAAUAUAUUUGAGAGGCAUCUCUUGAAUAUCAAAGGUGAGCCAGU